rnacentral:sRNA from 1 species
CAAGUGUGCUUAACUUAGAGAUAACCCUUAAGAUCACAUACCAUUCCUGUUAACACAUCAGAAGAUGGACAGCUCUACCAGGAAUGGUAUGUGAUCUUAAGGGUUAUCUCUAAGUUAAGCACACUUAUAGCUUCUCAAUCAACCUCUCUUAUCCUGGGAGAAGCAUCUUUGAGUUGUUUAUCCUAGUUGCCCUUAGGAAUGCUUACAAGGGGUUCCAUUACUGAGCAUGGAAGUAUGUAGGAGACUGGAUCCAUUUUUG